UGGGGAAUAUUGCACAAUGGGCGGAAGCCUGAUGCAGCGACGCCGCGUGAGGGAUGACGGCCUUCGGGUUGUAAACCUCUUUCAGUAGGGACGAAGCGUAAGUGACGGUACCUGCAGAAGAAGCACCGGCUAACUACGUGCCAGCAGCCGCGGGAAUACGUAGGGUGCGAGCGUUGUCCGGAAUUACUGGGCGUAAAGAGCUCGUAGGCGGUUUGUCACGUCGUCUGUGAAAUCCUAGGGCUUAACCCUGGACGUGCAGGCGAUACGGGCUGACUUGAGUACUACAGGGGAGACUGGAAUUUCUGGUGUAGCGGUGAAAUGCACAUAUAUCAGGUAGAACACCGAUGGCGAAGGCAGGUCUCUGGGUAGUAACUGACGCUGAGGAGCGAAAGCAUGGGUAGCGAACAGG
rnacentral:rRNA from 1 species